ACCCCUUAUAUAUAUUUGGGAAGCUGGCCUUGAUAGGAUCAGGACAUUAAUUUAAAGCGCUUAAGGGUUUGGUUUGCCUGGCAGCAAUGAAUGCUCCUCAAAAUGCAAAACAGCCCAGCAAAUACUAACUACUGAGGAAAUAAAAAGGAAUCUAAAAGUGCUCUGUUUGCAAGUUGGCUUAGAAUACAUUACGGUUUGAAGUGCUCCCCUAACUUACGCUAAUUAUAGUUUAGCAAACAUUUUUGAAGAAACUCUUUGUGAUUUGUUUGCAGUGUGUCGUUUGGGGUUUUGUGUCUCAUGGGGUUUUGUGUAUGAUGGCAUAUUUUGCAGACUUGCACUUUGUGGGGUUAAUUUCACAAUCUAUCCUUUUUUCUCUCACCAGGCUAAUUUUGGGUGCGGAAAAGUAAUAACAACAAAAAAUAAAUCAGCUGUGGAAAAACAAUGGAAGUUGUGCUAUGAUGCCUGAAACACUGGUAAAUUUACUGAGUUAUGGGUCUGGAUUCAUACACAAGGACUCAGAGUGCCCCCCCCCAAAAAAAGCCUUCCCUUGCAGCAUUUUGCACCAACCUUCACUUACCACCACAAAACACCACCAAAACAGAGCAAUUCAUCCAGAAACUGAGGUACCUUUCAGUUGGUCACUAGAUUUAUGUUCUGUGACAUCCCAGUGACAUUUUUCACUCAGGCAGUGCUGCAAAUUCUUAACCCGAGGUCCAUUUGACAUGGUUAAAUCUUUGUCCCUCACUAUAUGGAACUUCCUACCCAUCUGGAUGUCAGAGACCUUUUGCUUCAUCUUCUGGCAGCCCCUGCAGGUAGCAAAAAAAGAGAUUGGCUGCACAUUUCAGGCUGGUGAAAUCCACCACAUUCAAGAAGUGACAGCUGAAGGUUGGGUCACUUAGCCAGGCACGUCCUUGACUCAAUGGGGAUGCACUCAGAGAGAGACAACAGCCCCUGGGCCGGUGUCUGGGGGAACUGGGGUGAUUCACUCUCCACAGGCAUUGGUCUUUCUCCAUCAACAGAGGAAGCCUUAAUGAGUAGAUUAGACGGACACCUGAGAUGGCUUUGACUCACAUUGACCAGAGAAUCCCUCUCUCCUAGUCACCAGUCCAGGGAGGUGAGACACUGAAACAACCAUCUCUGGCUCUUCAACAAACCGAACUUCAGAAAGUCAGAGCAAUUGGGCUUUUCCAGCUCUUUGGGCAUAAAGCCCUUGGGAGACAAGACAUUACUGUGCACACAACUGAUAGCCCUCAGCCCUUCCUCACCAAAGGGAAUGUGAGCUCCAAGAAGGCUGCUGCUGCCUAUAGACGUGAGGGUAUCUAGAGGCAGCCAGUAGCCAUGUUCUCUCACCCUCUUUAACCCCCCUCCAAAGGCAUUUUCAUUGCAAAUCACAAAACCAACGCUAAACCUCCUUAAAAUGUUAAGCCUUCUAAUAUCAAGCUCUCUGAAAAGGAUACACACAUCGAAACUCAGAAAGCCAUAAGACGUGACUACAACACUGAGAUUCACAAGGCUAUUAAUUGAACCUGUAAUUGCAACUUACACGAGUUUGAGGGUCUGGUGGUAUAAAUUAGUUGCGUAAACUGAUGCUGUUGCCUUAUACAACUGGAAUAAUUCAACAUGUUUAUAGCGUGACUUUCAGAUUACACCUUUGUAAUAUUUUAGGAUCACAGUUCAUGCUGGGUUGCCAGCACAAUUGGCAAUAUCAGUUAAAACAUACUGCUGGCAAAUACAAAAUACUUCAAGCUAAAGCUUGUAACUUCCAUGAUCCUUUAAAUUCUAAACCAAGGUUGAUCGGAAGUGGAAUGCACAUUUGAAUCCAAAGAACAGUACAAAAGGCAAUUGUUUCAGCUCUUUCGCUCAGCUAGAGCUACCACACGUUCUACAUGGGAAAGCUGCAUCCUGAAUCAGAAGUCAGGCUGGGAGCUGCCGUGCCACCGCUCCCUUUCUGCACCCCAUUAUACACAUCAGCUGACUGAGAGACACCUGGAACAUAUCACAGACUGCAAUUAAACAUCUGCAAACCAAUCGUGCUGCAUCAGCCCCACUUCCAAAACCUCUUACCAGAGCUGCCGGCUUCACACAAGGUCUUCGCAAGGAACACCAAGUGUUUCAUCUGUUAGCACAUAAGAUCUCAGAAACCAACAACUUGUUGUGAGUAAGGACAUGGGAAAUGGGAGAAGAAAAAAUUGCAUUUUUUUAAAAAAGGUAAUUCAUCAUACUUACAUCAUUUCUGAGGGAGAAUGGGGGACAGAGGAAGGAAAGAAGAAAAAUGUUUUGAUGAGGGGUUGAGUGAAUCAUUUUAACGACUUGCAAUCUCUCCCUUUGUCAGCGUUCUUCUCCCUGUAUGGGCUGCUGAAAAUGGAAUUCAUUAUGAGAAUAUGUGAAGUUCACUAAUUUGUUUGUUGCCUCUGGAGAUGAAUCUCAACUAGUUCUUAAAAUAUAUUUUAUGCGAUAGUCUCAAAGAACCAUGCUCCAUCUCUGUAAUUAUAGACAGCCAUAGAAAACUCCUUGCAUUCAGAUAGGACAAUGGCAAUAACAGCAUUUGAUAGGCAUAAGAUUGGAUCAUAAUAUGCAUUUUUACGCACACACAGCUUCAUGGACUCUUGUCCACGACAUUCACAAGGUGUUAAAGAAUUGAUUUGGUUAGUACAUCCUCAUUCUCUUGUAUCCUAAAACCAAGGUUGUCCAUGAGAAUUCAGUGUAGUAAUGUAUUUUUUCCUCUCAUUAGCCUCUGUCUGCUCUAUGUUAGAAGUCAAGUCUGGGAUUUUCAAAGGAUGUUCCUCAUAAAAUUCAUCAAACACUGGGCCUGAAUUUGCCUCCCUCCCAGCUUCAGCCAACAAACUGGCCAUGUAUUCUAAUUUCAUCUUUGAGACUCCCUCUAUGGCUAAUGUAAGGAGAUAGGCAUCUCCAGACGGUGAUUCAUCAUGUCCUAAAAUAGGCAGCUAGGAGAGGUGGGAGGAAGCAGCCUCUGGAGGCACUUGCCUCGCUCUUUAUUGACUACCAGAGGCAGUCUAGACAACCAGACAACCAGACCAGGCGCCCAACUUCUGGAUGGUUAAAGUUAGGCGAAAUUAGUCCCACCCUUUGGGCGCCGAAUUUCUUCAGCACCUUUGAAGUCUUAAUGAGAGUACACAACAUCACACGCUCUAGAUCUGCUCGGUUCCUGCUGUACGCGUAUGUCAUAUCUCCGCGUGGUGAUUAGCACCUGUAAAUCUGAGCCUCCCAACAAAGCAAAGGAUUGGUUUGAUCUUUUUCCAUGCUGAUGUCUUCCUCUCACAGAACUGCACAGUGGAAAUAAGUGUGGGAUGUAUGGGAACCCAGGCCCUUGAAUGAGAUGGAAUCACACUGCCUGUUAAAGCAAUAAGAUCAGAAAAGGAAAGGAAAACAUUGCGGCUAUUACUAGGCUACAGCAGCCUCCCUGUAAAGGUGGAAGAACUCUUCUCCCUUGCCAUUGAAGCUGUUUGCUUGGACAGAAGGGAUUCUGUGAGCCCCGCAGAGGAAGGAAUUGCCCACAGAAGCUGGGCCAGGUCCUCCUGGGAAGCGUGUUCAGGUGGCAGGAGAUACCUCUGCCUUUUGUUAUGCUAAGGCACCAGUGCCCAAGCCCUUGUUCGACUUGAUUCGUGUAGCUUUGUGACGUACUGCUGAAUUCCUGAUGAAGCGCCCAGCUGAUUCAUGAGGCGCUAAUGUUCAGAGAGGCUGGUCGCAGCUUUAAAGAAAAGCACUUCCUAAAUUAACUUAUCAGCUCAGCAUCUUGAAAUGGUGAGGGGGAAGACUGAAGGUGAGAAAGCAACACUAAUUCUGUGUCAUCUCCCUGACUUAUUCUUCUCUUGUGACAGAAUCAUCUAUUUUCAGUGGAAACGCCAUAACCUUUUCAAGAUACUUAAACCCCUCUUAAUGAAUAUUUACAGCUGCUCCAUUUUCCUUUGUUGUAAAAUCUUUCCCGUGGUUUUCUUCAUUAAAGAUCAUGACUGUUUUCUUUUGU